rnacentral:lncRNA from 12 species
GCACCGGGCCGAGCACAGAACCAGUGCCCCACCUGUGUUUGUUGCAUGACUGCCUGACUCCAGCCAAGACAAGAGCCAGUGGGACUGGAUGGUGGUGACUGUAGGCCGCAGCAGGCCACAGGCCACUGGGGUGCUCACCGUUUCUUCGGCACCCGAAGGCCAAGAGCGUUCGCGGCUUACUUCAUCAAAAUCUCACAGUGCCGCCUAAGCAGGUACUGUUACGAUCCCCAUCGUACAGAUGGGGAAACUGAAGUUGGGGGGUGUUAAGUCGCUUGCUUAUGGUCACAUGUUGACCUAGAGGUGUCACUGAGACUGCGUACGGGUCUGCCUGGCCUGAUGAUGUUCUUAACGGUCCCAGAAGAGGAGGUUGGGAGGCACUGCCAGAGGAUUUCCUUGCUGGUCUGAGCUGCCUUGAGGUGGCCUGAUCUCGGGUCUCUGAAGGUCUGUCUGCAUGUCUGCGUGUCCUCACCAGUACUGAGGACUCUUAGAGAUGGGACUGCGACUCCCUCACCCUGGUGACUCCAGGGCUCAGCGGGGGCUGUGGCAUACAGCAGGCGCUCCAUGGGAGUUUCCUGGGUGAAUGCAUGGUCUUUGGCCUUCUCUGUUGACUGGGUCCCACACUGUUGAGAUGGCACAAACCACUCCACUUGAAGGCACCGAAUGUCCGGGCACCAGUCCAACCCAACAGCAGAACAGGUGAAAGCAACGAUCUCACAUCUCGGAGAGGAUUUUCCACUCACAUCUGACUUUCUACUACAAUUUGGUUUCCUGUGGUGGUUACGGAGGCUGUCAAGCCAGCAGGCUUUGUUAUUCUGGGGCGUAGAGAAGGGCCUACAGAGAAAAUCAAGCCUCCCCACACCUCUGCAUGGAGUGGAGGGAGAACCAAGGUGCGCAGUGCAAUCCCCCAGCGGACAGUGGGAAGCCCAGAGGAAGCCUGGUGCUCUUCACUUGCUGUGUGACACUGGCCUCCUCAUGUUCCCUUUCUGAGCCUCAGUUAGUCCUCUUUAAAGGGAGGGAUGGGGGGAGGGGGGAUCCCUGGGUGGCUCAGUGGUUUGGCGCCUGCCUUUGGCCCAGAGCGCAAUCCUGGAGUCCCGGGAUCGAGUCCCGCGUCAGGCUGCCAGCAUGGAGCCUGCUUGUCCCUCCUCCUGUGUCUCUGCCUCUCUCUCUCUCUCUAAGUCUAUUAUAAAUAAAUAAAUCUUUAAAAGAAAGAAAGAAAGAAAG